GAGGAAGGCUGGCGGCGUGCUUAACACAUGCAAGUCGAACGGAAAGGCCCUGCUUUUGUGGGGUGCUCGAGUGGCGAACGGGUGAGUAACACGUGAGUAACCUGCCCUUGACUUUGGGAUAACUUCAGGAAACUGGGGCUAAUACCGGAUAGGAGCUCCUGCUGCAUGGUGGGGGUUGGAAAGUUUCGGCGGUUGGGGAUGGACUCGCGGCUUAUCAGCUUGUUGGUGGGGUAGUGGCUUACCAAGGCUUUGACGGGUAGCCGGCCUGAGAGGGUGACCGGCCACAUUGGGACUGAGAUACGGCCCAGACUCCUACGGGAGGCAGCAGUGGGGAAUAUUGCACAAUGGGCGGAAGCCUGAUGCAGCAACGCCGCGUGCGGGAUGACGGCCUUCGGGUUGUAAACCGCUUUCGCCUGUGACGAAGCGUGAGUGACGGUAAUGGGUAAAGAAGCACCGGCUAACUACGUG
rnacentral:rRNA from 1 species